UAGUGCUGCAUUCACCUUUUUAUAGUACUGCUAUUAGUGUAACAUUUGAGGAUUAUAUGCUAGCAGUAUGUUUACAACAUUUUGUGCAUUGCUUGCUUCUGCAUUCUGUCUUAAACCAUUUCCUUGCUUUCCAUGUUUUGGCAUGUUAGAGAAUUAAACUUCUUUAUGUGCAGGUGGAGUCAUAUUUGCGUAUAAUUGGUGAGACAAAGCUUCAUCUGUAUUUCUUCUGGUACAUUCUGUCCUCUCAGUUCUUUUCUUCAUGUAGAAAUUUUGGGAAGAAUAUUCCUGCCAGAGGCAUAUUCAAAUGAUGAAUCCGUCAAGCUCAGAGAGAAGUGGAUAUCCUACCUGAGGUGCAUAUAAUGAAGAUGGAAGUUUGCUGCACUAGUUGGCUAUCAAGGUGCCAUCUUCUAAAACUUUGCUGCUGUAGGGGUUGGUAAAGUCAUGGAAGUUACUGUUUUACCCUCACUUUGGUCUAGGGUGAUAAAAAAUUGCUCCAGGUUUGUUCAGUAUAACCUAAUUUUUGCAUAAUUGAAUCAGUUGUUUUUCUACGGGUGGUUUUAUUUUCUUCUAGUUUCCUGCUGAAAAAUGAGGUAUAGGGUUGUAUUUGUUGCAGAGUGUGGCUUAUGUAGGAAUAUAACCAAGUUAGUGAUGCUUGAAUAUGUUGUUUUGAGCCAAUUCAGUGGGGAGCUUUUUAUUUGCGGCAAUGUGGGCGGUUUGGAGCGCUCCAUGGAUGCCGUGCAUAUUUGUCUGCAUCUACACUGCUGUGUACCGCUCCCUUCUUAUAAUAAUUCUGUAUGAAGUGAAUUUUCGUUUUUGUUGUAGGGACAUUUAUUCCUGUCAUAAGUUUUACUUGGUGUCAGUUCACAUUGUAAGUUCUAGUUUUACUUGGUGGAUAAAAUUGAACAUUCGACAUCUGUAGUAGCUAUCCGGUCAUGCAAUGACAAUAAUAAUGCGCUUUCGUGAACAAAGAAUGAAGUUGUAAUUCCUGGC